GGUGAAUACGUUCCCGGGUCUUGUACACACCACGCGAAGAACCUUACCAGGUCUUGACAUACUAUGCAAAUCUAAGAGAUUAGACGUUCCCUUCGGGGACAUGGAUACAGGUGGUGCAUGGUUGUCGUCAGCUCGUGUCGUGAGAUGUUGGGUUAAGUCCCGCAACGAGCGCAACCCUUAUUAUCAGUUGCCAGCAUUAAGUUGGGCACUCUGGUGAGACUGCCGGUGACAAACCGGAGGAAGGUGGGGAUGACGUCAAAUCAUCAUGCCCCUUAUGACCUGGGCUACACACGUGCUACAAUGGAUGGUACAACGAGUUGCGAACUCGCGAGAGUAAGCUAAUCUCUUAAAGCCAUUCUCAGUUCGGAUUGUAGGCUGCAACUCGCCUACAUGAAGUCGGAAUCGCUAGUAAUCGCGGAUCAGC
rnacentral:rRNA from 1 species